rnacentral:precursor_RNA from 12 species
GUCCUAAUGAUAUAUUAAGCGUUGAGGAUUAAGUGGAGGUGUGAUCUCUUCACUUUUUCAAUUUAAAGUGAGAUUCAACUCCUCCAACUUAACCCGAGCCGCAAGUACUACUGACGUGGAAA